GGGCGUGUAGCUCAGUGGUAGAGCGCUCGCUUUGCACCUAUUCUAGGAAGACUGCGAGAAGUCCAGGGUUCAAUCCCCUGCUCGUCCA